AGCGGAAUUCCUAGUGUAGCGGUGAAAUGCGUAGAUAUUAGGAGGAACACCAGUGGCGAAGGCGGCUUUCUGGACGACAACUGACGCUGAGGCGCGAAAGUGUGGGGAGCAAACAGGAUUAGAUACCCUGGUAGUCCACACCGUAAACGAUGGAUACUAGGUGUAGGAGGUAUCGACCCCUUCUGUGCCGCAGUUAACACAAUAAGUAUCCCACCUGGGGAGUACGACCGCAAGGUUGAAACUCAAAGGAAUUGACGGGGGCCCGCACAAGCAGUGGAGUAUGUGGUUUAAUUCGAAGCAACGCGAAGAACCUUACCUGGGCUUGACAUCCCUGGAAUCGAGUAGAGAUACUUGAGUGCCUUCGGGAAUCAGGUGACAGGUGGUGCAUGGUUGUCGUCAGCUCGUGUCGUGAGAUGUUGGGUUAAGUCCCGCAACGAGCGCAACCCCUAUUGUCAGUUGCCAUCAUUAAGUUGGGCACUCUGGCGAGACUGCCGGUGACAAAUCGGAGGAAGGUGGGGACGACGUCAAAUCAUCAUGCCCCUUAUGCCCAGGGCUACACACGUACUACAAUGGCCGAUAACAAAGUGCAGCGAAACCGUGAGGUGGAGCGAAUCACAAAACUCGGUCUCAGUUCAGAUUGCAGGCUGCAACUCGCCUGCAUGAAGUUGGAAUUGCUAGUAAUCGCGGAUCAGAAUGCCGCGGUGAAUACGUUCCCGGGCCUUGUACACACCGCCCGUCACACCAUGAGAGUCGAUAACACCCGAAGCCUGUGAGCUAACCGUAAGGAGGCAGCAGUCGAAGGUGGGGUUGAUGAUUGGGGUGAAGUCGUAACAAGGUAGCCGUAUCGGAAGGUGCGGCUG
rnacentral:rRNA from 1 species